GUGCUGAGCCUGAUCUGCGCCACUGUGCUGCUGGCGUCGAGCAGCGCCCUCAAGUGGGGGGACUACUGCCCCAAUCGCAACCGGUGCAAGAAUCCAAAAAGGCACCUUGUGUGCCUCUACCACAAUGACAAAAAACCAAUACACAGAUACUGCACUUCAUUAAAGCCUGCACGGGUCCGAAGCUUCAGCAAACGAGAUCAAACUACUACUUUGGAUAUCAUUAACGGGUUCAGAGCUAACCUUGCGCAAGGCUUAAUCAAAGUGACGAACGGCCGACUCAAGAGAGCGUACGGCAUGAUUCGCUUGGUACGUAUCGGUUGCAAUGAUAAUAGCACUUGAAA